GUGGAAGGAAGGUGCUGGAAUAUUACUCCAGAUUGCUUGUCACCAUGAUAUCCACGAGUUAUUUAAUCCGUCCGUUUCAUGCCAGCAUGCUUGCUUUCCGUCCGCACCUUUUAAACCAGGAGCCAGCCGAGACGAUGUCGCACCCAAGCAAACACAUUUAGAGUAGACCCAGACUGGAUGUCUCCACAGAAAUCAAGCACCACCUUGCCUUGGAGGACCCGACCUGUUUAAAGCUCUAAUUUGCAUCACCGACAGCUGACCCUCUUUUCUCAUAUUGAACCUGGCGAAAACACCCUGCCGACGGCUCAUUCCUGCGAGCUACACCUGAAAACUGCCCGACAAGCGACGGCUCAUUCAUUCAAGUCCUGUCUAAGGGUUAAUGUGCAUGCAUGUGCAUUUUUUUUUAGCAGUAAAAUGUGCUCCUUGAAUACUUGACACAGACACACACCACAAGUAAUGAACACAAAAUGGCUUUCGCGUGAUUAAAGAAUUGGGCUCUCACCAUGUGGAAGAAACUUUGCAAUUUGGUGGCACAAUAAGGUCACAUGGAAGUAGACUGAUCGGUAGCGGCCGAUAAUUAGCAUUUUAUGCUGAUCGGCUCUCAUGUCAUAAUUCGCCGAUCCAAUCAAUUACAUCAUUGAUCGCCUCCGCAAAAGACAUUGACUCCGUGUCGCCAUCGUGCACAGUACAUUUGAAUCCUAAGCUGGUUUAUUUUUAGCCUUGUUGCGUGUCUUUUGACGUAGUACUGUAAUUAUCUGACAGCAAAUUAAGUUAUUAAAAAAAAAUAAUAAUAAACGUCAGCGGUGUGCAACAGACAACACAUAAUGCCCGGACUCAGACGAAAAGAUCAAUGUCAUACUACUGCAAUAAAAUCUUGUAU